GACCUAGUGGCGGAAGGUAUCGCGCCUGCAUAAAUUGAAAAAAUGAUGAAGUGCAGCAGGCACUGGCACUCCUGGUUCGACUCCAGGCUAGGUCG